rnacentral:ribozyme from 1 species
ACAUUGAAUGGGACUUUCAAUGUCGUCGCCGGCACAUGAUAGAUCACAAAGCUAUCUCAGAAAAAUUAUAUCUCAUCAAUGAAACAAAUAGA